GGCAUGGAGCAGAGGAAGACUCUUCACCUCAUGGUGGCCAGGAAGCAAAAGAAAAGGUUCUGGGGUCUCAAUAUCCCCUUUAAAGGCAUACCCCAAUGACCUAACUUCCUUCCACUGGGUUCUACCUCCUAAAAGUUACACUGCCUCUCAGCAGUGACACAGAAUGAUGACCAAGUCUUUAGCAUAUGGGCCUUUGAGGGACAUUUAAGAUCAAGACCAUAACAUAACAAGGAUCUGAAGUACAAAGAAUUCUCAGACUUGACACCAAAACAUUUCCAUAAGAGGAAAAGGGAGAAACUGGACUUCAUCAAAAUUAAAAUUUUUGUCUGGGAAAGAUUCCAUUAAGAGGAUAAAAAAGACAAGAUUUAGACUAGGAAAAAAAUUUUGCAGUCCAUACAUUUGACAAAGACUAGUAUCUAAAAUAUCUCAAACCACUUUUUCUUCCAUUAGGUACAAGGUCUCUGGUUUAAUUCCUAGGUCCUUGAUCCACUUUGAGUUGAGUUUUGUGCAUGGUGAGAGAUACAGGUUUAAUUACAUUUUGUCACAAGUGAAU
rnacentral:lncRNA from 1 species